GAUGAACGCUGGCGGCGUGCUUAACACAUGCAAGUCGAGCGAGAAGUUUUGAAAAGAUUCUUCGGAUGAAAUUUAAAAUGGAAAGCGGCGGACGGGUGAGUAACGCGUAGGCAACCUGCCCCAUACAAAGGGAUAGCAUUUGGAAACGAAUAUUAAUACCUUAUGAAACUUAACUAGUGCAUGCUAGGUAGGUCAAAGAUUUAUCGGUAUGGGAUGGGCCUGCGUCUGAUUAGCUAGUUGGUGAGGUAACGGCUCACCAAGGCGACGAUCAGUAGCCGACCUGAGAGGGUGAACGGCCACAUUGGAACUGAGACACGGUCCAAACUCCUACGGGAGGCAGCAGUGGGGAAUAUUGCACAAUGGGGGAAACCCUGAUGCAGCAACGACGCGUGAACGAUGAAGGCCUUUGGGUCGUAAAGCUCUGUUCUAGGUGAUGAAAACUGACAGUAACCUAGGAGAAAGCCCCGGCUAACUCCGUG
rnacentral:rRNA from 1 species